AUGAGACCAGUGGCUAAUUCUUAUGAAAUCCAAUCGCGGAUUGAUCCGUUGCACGGCCAUUUAAACUAUGAGAUUAUUGGUCCCCGUAGCCAAGUUGGGAAAUUGAGAAACGUUAUUGGGAGAGACAGAGAGAGGAGAUGUUUUCAUCUACACUUCUUGGAACUGGUGAAAUUGGCCGUUGAUGAAGAUUAUCGAUCUUACUUAAUACUUCAAGUUAUAGUUGCUGCCUUUGUCAUGAAUAUUUACAUUGUUGGUUUAAAUCACUUGUACGACAUUGAUAUAGACAAGGAUAUAGAGCCAGCUCUUUCAGAGGUUUGGCUCUAUGUCAACUUGGAGGCAAUUUUAGUGGAAAAUAAGUCCUUGAGCAAGAUGGCGAUGAUGAAAUUGCAUUUGAUGAUCUCUUCCUCUAAUGCUCUCAAAGUCCUUCUACCUCCUGGAGAAGAAACCCCGCUCCUCGGCGAGGGAGACCCCAACAGCAGAUCUCUCUCUUCCCAAGCCAAUACCUUCGCCAACGUCUUCAUCGCCAUCAUCGGGGCCAGAGUUCUCGGCCUUCCUUACACUUUCAAGUGCACUGGUUGGGUUCGCGGCCUCCUCAUGCUCUUCGCCGUUGCAUCUCGCACCUACCACUGCAUGAUGCUCUUAAUCCACACUCGCCAGAAGCUCAAUUCUGUCCACUUAUUGAAGAACAGCAACAUCGCGUUGUUAUUGCUUAUUAGGAGUGGCUGUUUAUUGCUUUGAAGGGAUUGGUAUGGUUCUCCCUCUGGAAUCAGAAAUGAGAGACAAAUGAAAAUUUGGGAAAAUUGUUGCUUUUACUAUGGCUUCCAUAUGCUAGAUAUAUGGAAGUUUUGGAGCUAUCGAUUACUUUGCUUUUGGUGAAUAGACAGAAGAAAUGAUCACAGCAAACAUGGGAGCCAGAUUGGUGACCACUUUGGUGAAAUUUGGUCUCUGUGUGAAUCUCUUCUUUACCUUACCUAUAAUGAUGAACCUAGAUUAUGAAAUAGUGGAAAGAAGAUUUUGGGGUGGAAGAUGUUGCCUUUCGCUUAGAUGGUUAUCUGUUUUGUUGGUGAGUUUGGUGGCUAUUUUGGUUCCUAAUUUUGUUGAUUUCUUGUGCUUGGUGGGUAAUGGAGUUUGCUUUGCAUUGGGUUUUAUUUUGCCUUCUCUGUUCCACCUGGUGGUUUUCAUAGACGAGAUGGCUUGGGGAACAUGGCGUUCCCAUGUGAGCAUAAUGGUUGUGGGUCUUGUUCUUGGAGUUUUAGGAACUUAG